rnacentral:rRNA from 1 species
UCGAAACCUGCCAAGCAGAACGACCCGUGGACGUGUUUGCCAACAUAGGGCGUUGGGCAUAUUGUGGUGCCUUGUGUACCACAAAGCCCUUCGCCCAAGCGAGGGAGCUCUCACUUGUUGGGUGCUUCCUUGCUACAUAAUCGAACCCCGGCGCGAAAAGCGUCAAGGAACUUGAACUAAAAGUGAGUGCCUUGUCCCUGCUCGGUUACCCGUGCUGGGGGAGGUGCCAUGUCUAAAUAACAAUAAACGACUCUCGGCAACGGAUAUCUCGGCUCUCGCAUCGAUGAAGAACGUAGCGAAAUGCGAUACUUGGUGUGAAUUGCAGAAUCCCGUGAACCAUCGAGUCUUUGAACGCAAGUUGCGCCCGAAGCUUCGGUUGAGGGCACGUCUGCCUGGGCGUCACGCAUCGCGUCUCCCCCACCGCCAAGAACGGUGGGGAAGGAAGAUGGCUUCCCGUGCCUCACCCGGCGCGGUUGGCCUAAAAUUGGAGCUCGCGGCACUUAGCUUUCGCGGCGAUUGGUGGUGAACAAGGCCUAGGCCGUGCAAACAACCUGUCGCGAAGCUUUAUGCUUAGUGNGCUCGUCGGACCCUUUGAAGUUGCCUUGGCAACUCAAACCUUUGCGACCCCAGGUCAGGCGGGG